AAGAAGAAGGUUUUGGGGCAAGUGCUUAUAAGGUGGACUGGAACCCACCUUCGAAAGAAGAAGGUUUUGGGGCAAGUGCUUAUAAGGUGGAUUGGAACCCACCUUUGAAGGAAGAAGGUUUUGGGGCAAGUGCUUAUAAGGUGGAUUGGAAUCCACCUUCGAAAGAAGAAGGUUUUGGGGCAAGUUCUUAUAAGGUGGACUGGAACCCACCUUCGA